AUUGAACGCUGGCGGCAGGCCUAACACAUGCAAGUCGAACGGUAACAGGAAGCAGCUUGCUGCUUUGCUGACGAGUGGCGGACGGGUGAGUAAUGUCUGGGAAACUGCCCGAUGGAGGGGGAUAACUACUGGAAACGGUAGCUAAUACCGCAUAACGUCGCAAGACCAAAGAGGGGGACCUUAGGGCCUCUUGCCAUCGGAUGUGCCCAGAUGGGAUUAGCUAGUAGGUGGGGUAACGGCUCACCUAGGCGACGAUCCCUAGCUGGUCUGAGAUGAUGACCAGCCACACUGGAACUGAGACACGGGCCAGACUCCUACGGGAGGCAGCAGUGGGGAAUAUUGCACAAUGGGCGCAAGCCUGAUGCAGCCAUGCCGCGUGUAUGAAGAAGGCCUUCGGGUUGUAAAGUACUUUCAGCGGGGAGGAAGGGAGUAAAGUUAAUACCUUUGCUCAUUGACGUUACCCGCAGAAGAAGCACCGGCUAACUCCGUG
rnacentral:rRNA from 1 species